CAAGCAGGGUUCCUUAAGGGUAGCAGGACACAUGAAAGGUGCCACUGGGAUUCUUUCCCUGCUUGUGGCCCCGCCCCCAGGUAGAGCAUCACCUGCAAGUGGAGGAGGUGCGAAUUCGACCCGCCGUUGGGUGGGGCAGACGACCCCUGCCCGUGACGGAGGGGCUGGUGGAAGUCAGGCUUCCUGAUGGCUGGUCGCAAGUGUGCGACAAAGGCUGGAGCGCCCACAACAGCCACGUGGUCUGCGGGAUGCUGGGCUUUCCCAGCGAAAAGAGGGUCAACGCGGCCUUCUACAGGCCUGUGUCCGUCUAAAGGGUGGCGCCCACCCUGGAGAGGGCCGGGUAGAAGUCCUGAAGGCCAGCACAUGGGGCACAGUCUGUGACCGCAAGUGGGACCUGCAUGCAGCCAGCGUGGUGUGUCGGGAGCUGGGCUUCGGGAGUGCUCGAGAAGCUCUGAGUGGCGCUCGCAUGGGGCAGGGCAUGGGUGCUAUCCACCUGAGUGAAGUUCGCUGCUCUGGACAGGAGCUCUCCCUCUGGAAGUGCCCCCACAAGAACAUCACAGCUGAGGAUUGUUCGCAUAGCCAGGAUGCCGGGGUCCGGUGCAACCUACCUUACACUGGGGCAGAGACCAGGAUCCGACUCAGUGGGGGCCGCAGCCAACAUGAGGGGCGAGUCGAGGUGCAAAUAGGGGGACCUGGGCCCCUUCGCUGGGGCCUCAUCUGUGGGGAUGACUGGGGGACCCUGGAGGCCAUGGUGGCCUGUAGGCAACUGGGUCUGGGCUACGCCAACCACGGCCUGCAGGAGACCUGGUACUGGGACUCUGGGAAUAUAACAGAGGUGGUGAUGAGUGGAGUGCGCUGCACAGGGACUGAGCUGUCCCUGGAUCAGUGUGCCCAUCAUGGCACCCACAUCACCUGCAAGAGGACAGAGACCCGCUUCACUGCUGGAGUCAUCUGUUCUGAGACUGCAUCAGAUCUGCUGCUGCACUCAGCACUGGUGCAGGAGACCGCCUACAUCGAAGACCGGCCCCUGCAUAUGUUGUACUGUGCUGCGGAAGAGAACUGCCUGGCCAGCUCAGCCCGCUCAGCCAACUGGCCCUAUGGUCACCGGCGUCUACUCCGAUUCUCCUCCCAGAUCCACAACCUGGGACGAGCUGACUUCAGGCCCAAGGCUGGGCGCCACUCCUGGGUGUGGCACGAGUGCCAUGGGCAUUACCACAGCAUGGACAUCUUCACUCACUAUGAUAUCCUCACCCCAAAUGGCACCAAGGUGGCUGAGGGCCAUAAAGCUAGUUUCUGUCUCGAAGACACUGAGUGUCAGGAGGGUGAGUUGGGGCCUGGACCACAUGGUAUCCAUUGCACAGCCUUUCCUUACACUGACAUAUGCCAAUCCCUCCAGAUGUCUCCAAGAGGUAUGAGUGUGCCAACUUUGGAGAGCAAGGCAUCACUGUGGGUUGCUGGGAUCUCUACCGGCAUGACAUUGACUGUCAGUGGAUUGACAUCACGGAUGUGAAGCCAGGAAACUACAUUCUCCAGGUUGUCAUCAACCCCAACUUUGAAGUAGCAGAGAGUGACUUUACCAACAAUGCAAUGAAAUGUAACUGCAAAUAUGAUGGACAUCGAAUCUGGGUGCACAACUGCCACAUUGGUGAUGCCUUCAGUGAAGAGGCCAACAGGAGGUUUGAACGCUACCCUGGCCAGACCAGCAACCAGAUUAUCUAAGUGCCACCGCCCUCUGCAAACCACCACUGGCCCCUAAUGGCAGGGGUCUGAGGCUGCCAUUACCUCAGGAGCUUACCAAGAAAUCCAUGUCAGCAACUGCACUCAUCAGACCAUGCACUAUGGAUGUGGAACUGUCAAGCAGAAGUUCUCACCCUCCUUCAGAGGCCAGCUGUCAGUAUCUGUAGCCAAGCAUGGGAAUCUUUGCUCCCAGGCCCAGCACCGAGCAGAAGAGAGCAGAGCCCACCACACCACAAAGAGCAGCACCUGACUAACUGCCCCCAAAAGAUGGCAGCAGCUCAUUUUCUUUAAUAGGAGGUCAGGAUGGUCAGCUCCAGUAUCUCCCCUAAGUUUAGGGGGAUACAGCUUUACCUCUAGCCUUUUGGUGGGGGAAAAGAUCCAGCCCUCCCACCUCAUUUUUUACUAUAAUAUGUUGCUAGGUAUAAUUUUAUUUUAUAUAAAAAGUGUUUCUGUGAUUCUUCAGAGCCCAGGAGUCAGUGCUGGUGGUUGGAGGGACCUGCCCCCACUGGUUCAUUUAACCCUCUGUCCCGGCGCCCUCAGAGCCUCAGCCAGGAAGGCAAGGAGGAAAUCAGAGCAGAAGCCUCAUACUCUUGGUGAUCUAUUCAUUCUGUGACCUCAGGGGUCACAUAUAAGGUCAGUGUUUCUCGUCCCCGCCGGAUCUGCACUGCCAGCUGGGAUUGGGUUCGAACAGCUUCAUAAACAUCUUCAGCAUUUUGUACCAUCUGCUCCCCAAUGGCCAAAAUCACAUCACCAGGCCGCAGACCAGCCCUACAGAGAAAAAUGGACAGAGAGAAAGGAAGGAGUACAAAGCCUAGUUCAAGGACACAUGCACACCUUGCCCAUCCCCAUAUCACACUGCAGCCUCUCCCUCACCGGUGUGCAGGGGAGCCCAGGAUGACUUUAUGGAUGAGUACACCAUGCUGAACAUCGGGAAAGCUUGGUUCUCGAAGCUGUAGUUCAGCAAGGAUGCUGAAAGUACACAGAUCACCCUAUUAGCCAAACCCAGGCAUUCUCCCCAUCCUGAGUUCCACCUCAAGUCUCUCAUCAACACAUUGAUAAAUAUACAGACAGGACAUGAGCUAGGUACUACAAAAUACAAUGGCAACUCACUUUCUGUCUUCUAGCAAUAAAGUGCAACAUGUACAUAAAAGAUGUACACCACACGAGGGCACCA
rnacentral:sRNA from 1 species